rnacentral:rRNA from 1 species
CCUACGGGUGGCAGCAGUGAGGAAUAUUGGUCAAUGGGCGACAGCCUGAACCAGCCAAGUCGCGUGAGGGAGUACGGCCCUAUGGGUUGUAAACCUCUUUUGUCGGGGGGCAAAAGCCGGACGUGUCCGGCUGUGAGAGUACCCGAAGAAAAAGCAUCGGCUAACUCCGGUCCAGCAGCCGCGGUAAUACGGAGGGGGCGAGCGUUAAUCGGAAUUACUGGGCGUAAAGGGGUCGUAGGCGGUAUGUUAAGUCAAGGGUGAAAUCCCCGCGCUCAACGUGGGAAAUGCCUUUGAAACUGGCAAACUGGAGUGUGUGAGAGGAUAGGGGAAUUCGAGGUGUAGGAGUGAAAUCCGUAGAUAUCAGGAGGAACAUCAGUGGCGAAGGCGACUAUCUGGCACAUAACUGACGCUGAGGAGCGAAAGCGUGGGUAGCAAACAGGAUUAGAUACCCCUGUAGUC